rnacentral:rRNA from 1 species
GAUGAACGCUGGCGGCGUGCCUAAUACAUGCAAGUCGAGCGAACAGAUAAGGAGCUUGCUCCUUUGACGUUAGCGGCGGACGGGUGAGUAACACGUGGGUAACCUACCUAUAAGACUGGGAUAACUUCGGGAAACCGGAGCUAAUACCGGAUAAUAUUUCGAACCGCAUGGUUCGAUAGUGAAAGAUGGUUUUGCUAUCACUUAUAGAUGGACCCGCGCCGUAUUAGCUAGUUGGUAAGGUAACGGCUUACCAAGGCGACGAUACGUAGCCGACCUGAGAGGGUGAUCGGCCACACUGGAACUGAGACACGGUCCAGACUCCUACGGGAGGCAGCAGUAGGGAAUCUUCCGCAAUGGGCGAAAGCCUGACGGAGCAACGCCGCGUGAGUGAUGAAGGUCUUCGGAUCGUAAAACUCUGUUAUUAGGGAAGAACAUACGUGUAAGUAACUGUGCACGUCUUGACGGUACCUAAUCAGAGAGCCACGGCUAACUACGUG